rnacentral:rRNA from 1 species
CCCGGAGCUUGCUCCGGCGGAUUAGUGGCGAACGGGUGAGUAACACGUGAGUAACCUGCCCUUGACUCUGGGAUAAGCGUUGGAAACGACGUCUAAUACCGGAUACGACCUUCGGAGGCAUCUCCUGGGGGUGGAAAGAAUUUCGGUCAAGGAUGGACUCGCGGCCUAUCAGCUAGUUGGUGAGGUAAUGGCUCACCAAGGCGACGACGGGUAGCCGGCCUGAGAGGGUGACCGGCCACACUGGGACUGAGACACGGCCCAGACUCCUACGGGAGGCAGCAGUGGGGAAUAUUGCACAAUGGGCGCAAGCCUGAUGCAGCAACGCCGCGUGAGGGACGACGGCCUUCGGGUUGUAAACCUCUUUUAGUAGGGAAGAAGCGAAAGUGACGGUACCUGCAGAAAAAGCACCGGCUAACUACGUGCCAGCAGCCGCGGUAAUACGUAGGGUGCAAGCGUUAUCCGGAAUUAUUGGGCGU